GGUCUUGAGUAAUCGCGGUCAAGUCAGCUUGACUGAGGAAAGUCCAUGCUCGCACGGGCUGUGAUGCCUGUAGUGUUCGUGCGUCGCCCAAUAAGCGGCGGUACGCUUUUGCGUAACGGCGAAACCAAAGCUAAGGAUGCAAAUCUAUGCGGCGGUUUCUGAAAAGUGCCACAGUGACGAACCUGUUUGGAAACAUUCAGGAUGGAACGGGUAAACCCCGCGAGCGAGUAACCCAAACUUUUUGGUAGGGGCGUCCCAUGAGGGAAAUGAACUGGACAUGGGAGCACUUCGGUGCAGAUAGAUGAUUACUGAAGAAAUGCGUGACACACAUUUUGGAACGGAACAUGGCUUAUAGAG
rnacentral:RNase_P_RNA from 2 species